UGGGGAAUAUUGGACAAUGGGGGCAACCCUGAUCCAACAAUGCCGCGUGAGUGAUGAAGGCCUUCGGGUUGUAAAGCUCUUUCGCACGCGACGAUGAUGACGGUAGCGUGAGAAGAAGCCCCGGCUAACUUCGUGCCAGCAGCCGCGGUAAUACGAAGGGGGCUAGCGUUGUUCGGAAUUACUGGGCGUAAAGGGCGCGUAGGCGGCCUGUUUAGUCAGGAGUGAAAUCCCCGGGCUCAACCUGGGAAUUGCUUUUGAUACUGGCAGGCUUGAGUUCCGGAGAGGAUGGUGGAAUUCCCAGUGUAGAGGUGAAAUUCGUAGAUAUUGGGAAGAACACCGGUGGCGAAGGCGGCCAUCUGGACGGACACUGACGNUGAGGCGCGAAAGCGUGGGGAGCAAACAGAUUAGAUACCCUGG
rnacentral:rRNA from 1 species